AUUGGAAUAACAUGGAUCUAAGCGGCCUGAGUUCAAAAGAAAUAUCGGAUAAAUACUAGAAUAGCGCAGAAACAAGGGCUGUGUGGGGAACCACACUAACAAGAAUGUUACGCAGUAACAUUUCAAGUAAAAAACUGAUAACUAACUUCCUGAGUAUAUUGUAGUAAGAAUUAUCAGCUAAUGAUAAUAACGGAUUUUACACUACAAGAAAACAGUCGUUUUGCGAGGGAAGAAUUACUCGCUAAUCCCUCGCAAACAGCCAUACGCGAGGGACUUGCGAGGAAAUCAAGUUCCUCGCAAAUCGCUUCUCGCAAAUGGUAAAAAGUCGCAAUUCCCUUGCAACACACGCAACUACAGUUCUAGUACUUCCCUCGCAACUGUUGCGAGGGAUUUGCGAUUU
rnacentral:sRNA from 1 species